UACGGAGGGAGCUAGCGUUAUUCGGAAUUACUGGGCGUAAAGCGCGCGCAGGCGGCUAUCCAAGUCAGUGGUGAAAGCCCGGAGCUCAACUCCGGAACUGCCAUUGAAACUGUUUAGCUUGAGGACGAGAGAGGUGAGUGGAAUUCCCAGUGUAGAGGUGAAAUUCGUAGAUAUUGGGAAGGACACCGGUGGCGAAGGCGGCUCACUGGCUCGUUUCUGACGCUCAGGCGCGAUAGCGUGGGGGAUCAAAACAGG
rnacentral:rRNA from 1 species